GUAGCACAUGUUGCAGCUGCUGGAGAAUUUAAUAACAAUGUUCCUUAUCUGAGAGUGCACAAUGUGGCUGAAAUUAAGGUAACUAACAUAUUAUUUUCUGUUUGGAUUCUAAUUACUGAAUAUUAUUUGAGUCUACGUUCAAAACCAUGCAUGCUGAGUGUUGGAUAAUCAGGAAAAUAAUACUACUAUGUUUCAAUUUUUUAUUUUUUUUUGGGUUAAUUUAUAUGCAUAUAUAAUUUGACAGCUGAUGAGUUUUCAGUUGAGCUAGCUGAAGGGCUUGCUUUUGUUGCUGCUCGUGAUGAUGAAUCCAAACUCUUUAUGGUAGUUUUACUCUCUUUCAAGGUUUGUGAACAAUUUAUACUUGGCGAUGAUUGAUUCUUCAAGUAGCAAUUAUUUCAUACUCCUUGUUUGGCAUUCUUCAUUGUAUUAUAGUUUAUGGAGAAAGAAGUGAAGAGGUUGAAAAGAAUAGUGAAGCUUGCACUUGGAAACUCAAGUGCACAAGAAUCACCUCUUACGUUACAGAUUGCUAAUUUUCAUUUACUUUCAAGCUUUUUAAAAUUUUUUUUUUUCACUUUCUAAUCCAUAGAAACUAACCAUAACAGGGUUUUGUAACUGAUAGACCAGAUUACCCUAAUCCAUAGAAACUAACCAUAACAGGGUUUUGUAACUGAUAGACCAGAUUACCGCAAGCACAUAAAUCCUCUAAUGGCAGUGUUGCAUUUUUCGGCCUCUCUAAAUUUAUAGGUUAGCAAUACUUGCUAAAUUUAGAAUCCAACUCCUGCUGUUGACUUCAAAUAUUAGCAUAUUUUCUUAUUGAUACAAAAUAUUGCUCUAAUGAUUAUUAUCCAUUCCAGUCUCAUAUUUUGUCAGGCUUCUUAAGCAUAUCUUGGAUAUAAUACUUAUGCUUAAUUCUAUACAAACUGAUUGUCGAAAUAACAUACUAUUAUACUAGUUACUGAUUUGAUAAUUUACUGAUUAAUAUUUCUUCGUUGAUCUAGGAUAUUAUUUGGUAUACUAAUGAUGAUGUGGGGAUGGAGCAGAUUCAUAUUUCUUGAUUCAUAUAGGAUAUUAUUUGGUCGAAUGAAGAUGAUGAUGGGAAUGAAGAAGAUGAGGUAGAGGCAAACGUAGGUCUCAGAGACUAAAGAACAUGUGUUGGAGGAUGCUUGAAAUAAUUCA
rnacentral:lncRNA from 1 species